rnacentral:lncRNA from 1 species
AUGGAAAGUAGUGGUGAGGAGAGGGGGUGGGUCGAAAAGGUGUCGCAGUUUGGCGGGAAGGUGAAUAUCGAGGAGGUGCUGAGCUACAAGGUAGCGCCAGCGUGGAACGAGGAGAAGGUGCAGGGCGAGGAGAGGGCGUGGGGCGAGGAGAGCUCAAAAGGCAAAGAGUGUGUCUCUAAGAAGGGGCGGGGCGAGGAGCAGGCUGGGGAAGAACAGCUUGUCAAAGACAAGGGGCAAGGGAGGGUGGAUAAGGAGCAGGUCGCGGAACACCUGCCGGACAACGAGCAGAAGCAGAGCCAGGAGCAAAUUCUAAGCAAGAAACAGGGGCGGAGACAGAGGAAGGGGCGGGGCAUGGAGAAGGUCCAAGAUCUGGACCGGGAGAGGGGCGGAGCUGGGUACAGGACCAGGUACCAGAGCAGGGACCCAGAGAAGAGAGAGGGGCGGUGCGAAGAGAAGUGGGCGGGUGGAGCAAGAAGUGGGGGCGGUGCUAAGUGCAGGUGCAAGUGUAAGUGCGAGAUCACAGGAAAUAACAGGACUGAGGAAAAUAGGUGGGAUGCAGCCAAAGCGAGAAACAGAAACCGAAACGAGGAGAAGAGUAGGGGAGGGAUGCAGAGCAGGCGCAGAGCCAAGAACAAGGGGGGGGCAAGAUUAAGGGGCGAGACGAGGAGACAGGAUGAAACCAGGAGCAGGUGCGUGGCCAGGAGCAACAGCAGGGGCAGCACCUGGAGUAAUAGCAGAGGUGGGAUCUGGAAAAGGAGCAGAUUCAGGGCCUGGGACAGGAUCGAGGUCUGGUGCAGAGGCGGAGCCAGGAGAAAAAGCAGGAGCGGAGCCAGGUGCAAGAGUAGGGGCGGGGCCAGGCGUAAGAGUAGGGGCGGGGCCAGGCUUAAGAGUAGGAGUGGGGCCAGAAGUCCCUGCAGAAGCCAUUCUAUUAGAAGGGGCGGGGCGAAGCUCAAGAGCAAGGCGGAUUUCAAAAGGCGGCAUCACAGAAGGCGGCCCAGGAGCUCAGUAUAG